UACCUGGUUGAUCCUGCCAGUAGUCAUAUGCUUGUCUCAAAGAUUAAGCCAUGCAUGUCUAAGUAUAAACAAGUUUGUACUGUGAAACUAGCGAAUGGCUCAUUAAAUACAGUUAUAGUUUAUUUGUAUGGUACCUUGCUACAUGGAUAACUGUGGUAAUUCUAGAGCUAAUACAUGCAAUCAAGCCCCGACUUCCGGAAGGGGUGGUUAUUUAUUAGAUAAAAAACCAAACGCGGUUCGCCGCUCCUUCGGUGAUUCUAUAAUAACUUCUCGAAUCGCAUGGCCUUGUGCCGGCGAUGCUUCAUUCAAAUAUCUGCCCUAUCAACUUUCGUAUGGUAGGGAGUAGAGGCCGUACCCAACUGGGUUUUCGUAACGGGUAAACGGGGGAAGUAAAGGGGUUACGUAGUUUCCGGAGAGGGGAGGCCGUCGAGAAACGGGACCGUUAACCCGACCAACUCCCAAGGAAGGGACGAGCAGGCGCGCAAUUACCAAUCCCGACACCGGGGAGGUAGGUGACAAUAAAUAACAAUAUGGGGCGUCUUUCGGGUCUCAUAAUUGGAAUGAGUACAAUUUAAACCUCUUAACGAGGAACAAUUGGAGGGCAAGUCUGGUGCCAGCAGCCGCGGUAAUUCCAGCUCCAAUAGCGUAUAUUAAAGUUGUUGCAGUUAAAAAGCUCGUAGUUGAACUUCAGACCUGGCCGGGCGGUCCGCCUUACGGUGUGUACUGUCUGGCUGGGUCUUACCUCUUGGUGAGCCGGCAUGCCCUUUACUGGGUGUGCCGGGGAACCAGGACCUUUACCUUGAGAAAAUUAGAGUGUUCAAAGCAGGCAUAUGCCCGAAUACAUUAGCAUGGAAUAAUAAAAUAGGACGUGCGGUUCUAUUUUGUUGGUUUCUAGAGUCGCCGUAAUGAUUAAUAGGGAUAGUUGGGGGCAUUAGUAUUCAGUUGCUAGAGGUGAAAUUCUUGGAUUUACUGAAGACUAACUACUGCGAAAGCAUUUGCCAAGGAUGUUUUCAUUAAUCAAGAACGAAGGUUAGGGGAUCGAAAACGAUCAGAUACCGUUGUAGUCUUAACAGUAAACUAUGCCA
rnacentral:ncRNA from 1 species